CACACACAAUAAACUUUGUGAGCUAAUUCUAGAAUAGUCUUCCAUUAAUAGUAAAGUAGGAAACAUGGACUUACAUGUUAUCCUGGACAUUACUCUUUGUUUUUAUUGUAUUCAUAAACUAUUGAAGGAGGAGAUGCUCUCCUUGGAGGACAAGUGUGAUGGAGUUUGACUAUCCUUUAGUUCUAUCUUAAUCACCAAAAUGACAGGACCUCACACCUGUCUUCCUUCUAGUGAUGUCAGGUGGUUGCAACAAAGCAUGGAGGCAACCAGCACAUUAUUCCAAAAGUAUCUCCUUGAUCUGAAAAUGAAGAGAACAACUUGAUGUGAAUAAAACCCAAAGCAUUUUGGGAAAUGUUAGUCUUUCCUGAUCCCCUUUCUCUCCUUGGGAUAGAUUUAGUUGAAAGCGAAUGAAUUUUGAUUCUGCUUAAACACAUGAGAAGUUUCAUUUUUCUUGCAAAAACUGUGGACAUGGCCAUUUUGGGGGCAAAUAUAGCUGCUCUAGGGCCAGGCUCAUUUCACCUUUAUGCUUUGGUGUCCUUUGUGCAUAAUGGCUGAGCAUCUAAGUAUGUCAGCAUUCCAGAAACAAAGAAGGAAGAAUAAGGAGGAAGAAGCGGCUAUAUGAGAAUUUGGAACAUUUCCAGAAACCCCAGUAAACGUACGUCUUGUUGUCCUGAACCAAGUCCCACAGUGAUCAUUUGCUGCCGUAGAGUCUGACAACUGCUUUUUUCCCCCUCUGGACACAUUUCCUUUCCUGCAGGAGCUGAGAUUCUUUCGAUGAGGAUGGAAUAGGGAAGCGAUAUUGCCCAGGCAAUGCACCAUGGAGACCAGACCUAUCAGAGUCCAGCAGAGGAUGGUGCCCGGGCUUGGUCAUUGCUCACUACAAAUGCAAGUCAAAAUGAUAAAUGUCAAACACAAACUACCAUUUUCUUUUCUUUUUUGAGUAAAGCUAUAGCAGCCUUCCUAGUCAUGUUUACUCUUGCACAGAAUGGACAUUUGUUUUCUUGUGUUAUGUGUGUCGUUUUACAACUGUUACCAAUUUUGGUGAAGACGUGAAGGUUCAUUUGAUGAGAAGGGGACUUUUGGAGGGGCCAGUUCAUUCAGUUUUCAGAGGGGUCUGAUCUUCAUCUGGUGCACAGGUCCUGGGUGCCUGGCCUCCCCUUGGGAACCAGGGUCUCUUAACCCUGCCUCAAGCUGCAGAGGAUUUAAGGUAAAGGCUGGGGAGCAGCUUCUGAGUCACAAGGUGACCCAUUUAGUGCUGUGCCUGAUCUGGCUGUCUGGCUGGUUCUGUGGGGACGCUCCUGAUGGUGUCCCAGCCAAUAGGUCACCAGUACAUUUAAACAGAGCCAGGGUAGUGUGGCAUGUACAGCCUGACAGCAUCUUGAGUGGAGGUCUUUUCCAAGGGACUUAAAAUGGGAUAGGCAUUCCAAGCUGGUGGACUCAUGGGGUUAGCCUUUCACAACCAUGGUACUUAGUUGAACAUUUUUUUUUCUAACUUCUUCUCCUCCUUCAUUAUUUCCUUUCAUCUUUUUCUCCAUUUAGGUUUUGUCCUAGAAGCCUUUUUAGAAGAAUCUAGAAGUCACUUUUCUAACUUCCUACCUACAGGCAUCUUGGAGGACCUCACCUGGUUCUUUGUGCAAACAUCUCCAGACAGACAUGCGUCGUCUCCAAGUCAGCCAGUUCUGAAGAGUGUGUCAGAAGGGUGUUGCUCAUAUUAAGCAGAUACCUCCUGUUAGAUUUCAGAAUAUUGUACUAACAGUGAAACUCCAAAACCCAACUGGUGAAAGAAUAUCUGGUUCUCUGCUUUGGGUUCCAAGUCUAGCCUAAGCCAUUGCUGCAGGAUUGUUGCACUGAACUGAAAGCUCCUUGUUCAGCAUAUACUAGUGCCAGUAAAGCUAUAGCAGGUGAUCCUGACUUGAGGAUGGCCUACUUCAGAUAAAGAACAUAGUCUUGGAGGCACAUGGUCUUGAAUCCACAUCCAGACUUCACUUCUGGCCUGGGUUUUGCUUGUAUGGACAAUUGCUAGAAGGAAAUUCGGUCUUUGGAUCGGCUACAGAUUUAUUUCUACUGAUUCUCUUCCCAUAUAAAUUAUUACAGAAU